rnacentral:snoRNA from 1 species
UUGGAAAUAGUCUCACUGUUCUGAUCUUGUAAUAAUCCCGGACAGACUAAACAUUCGCUGUAUUAAAACCAUGCACGUGUCCUUCUUCUCUUUCCCUACUUCUCCUGCUGGUGAUAAAC